CUAUGAAUAGGUUUAAAGUGCUUUCUAGUGAGGUUUAGUUUUGUGGACUGCACAGCGCCCUCUGCUGUCAGCGCCUCGUGUGGCCACCGGAAAUACAACGUGCUGCGUCCCGGAAAUAUGCGCUCACGGGGCAGGUGGAAACUGCUAGUGGCGCGAAAUCUCUGGCCAUUCUUAGGUGAUUAAACUGCAUCUUAAAAUGUUUUAAAUGGUGUUUCUAAAUCGUGUGUAAGACAUACACAAGGAUGAAAUAACUUUUCAGUACAAAGACAAUAUGAAGUGCAACAAAUAAAUAAAAGGCAAUAAAAAUGUGUGCAAAUAUUUAAGCUGAAUAUUUCAUAAACCUGUGAAAUUUGCUAACUGAAAAAAUAAAUAAUUUAGCAUCUGAAUUAUGAACCAGAUUUCUUACAUCAAAAAAGACUUCCAAUUAUACAUAAACCUAACAAACUACAAACAAAAAGUGCUGAAAAUGUGUAAUGUUUUGAAAGCAAUGUUGUUUACAAAUGUUUACAUGGAGUAUAACAUUACACAGAAGAAAAUGUAUUUAAUGGUAAUUAACCAGACACACAGAAAUCACAAAUUUUGCAAUCUUUAUGUAUUUGCAGCUUUAUAGCUGAGAUUUGAGAAAGUAUCUGGAUUUUUGAAACCAACUACCGGAUCCUACGAGAUCACACCACCAGAGCUCGCAUGCGCCUUAUGUCCAAUUAUUAAAUAUUAAUUUACCCGGAUAAAGUAUUGUUCAAAGUUCAUAAACAACACCAUAAACUGCAUAAAUGAAAGUAUAAGGGUACAGAAAAACAACCUGCUACCAAGGUGAGGUAGGCUGAUACUAUAUCAAAUUUUGCUUAUUGUUUGAUAUAUUUUCUGUGCUUGGAAAAACUUUUUUUUGUUAUCAAUUUCUAUGAAGAGCAAAAACAGCUGCACGUACUGUGAUCAUGGGUAAUACACCUCCGAAGAAUAUUGAGAACAGGGUAGAAAUAUAUCGUGAACGUGAGCAAACACAUGGAACUUUCCAUAUAAAUGUUCUUAACGUGAAAUAUGAAAUCAAAGAAGAUCCACAAAAGACGACAAAGAAAGUAAACAUGGACAUCCACAAAUUGACGGCUAUAGUUGGAGCUCUUAUUGGUUCAGUUGCUGGAGCUCAGUUUGGAGUUUCAGGGUCUUGCAUGGGAAUAAUAUAUGGUGUUCUUGUAGGGAUUGCACUUGGAAAAUUGGUAUGAUCAAUAAGUUAUGGCAACAUAUGUUUUUACAUAUCACCAGCUGGAGUGCCCUUGAUAUCAACAAUAGGGCACUUGCCAUUCACACAUGGACUACACUUCCCAUAAUCCAUUGCCCGGACUCAUCAUGUGUGAUUACAUCCAUCUGUGUCUCAUUUACCUUGUUAACUCUGCCUAAAUAAGCCUGGUUCAUUCAGUCACUCAUUGUGAAGUCUUGUAUGUGUCAAUCAUUGCAUUUCUGAGCGCUCUGUCUUUGGUUUCUCAUGUUCAUGGUUUUUGACUUCUUGCCCAUUUCCUUUUGUCAUUUCCUGCCUGUUUUUUGGAUUACGUUUUUGGAUUACCCUUUUAAUAAACUACUGCAUUUAGAUCCUCUCGGAGCUCAACUUUUCUUACAGGUUUCUUAAGUUAUAUGAGAUUCAAUAAGCUAUUUUAUUGUCAGUUUAAUAUAAUUUAACGUGAAAUGACUUAUACAGCCCAGCUGAUUGUUCUUAUAAAUUCAGAACAGCAACUGAAUUUAAAUUUUUUUACAGCGUACAUUUACAUUCAAAUUUAUUCAUGCAUUUAUCCAGAACAACUUCAUAAGAAGCAGAAUCAUAAGGAAACGGAUAUAAGAUAGUACAGAUAUAAAAGUGCAAACAGGCCAGAAUAUUAUUUUGUUUUAAUUUGCAACAAAAUAUCUUGAGUUUUUCUUUUUUUCUCUCUGUUUCCUUGGCUCAAGAUGAUUCGAUUGCAUGCUUGCUAUGUUGUCAUUUUCCAUCAUUAAAUGUUUUCUGCCAUUUUGAAUUUUCUGAAAAACAUACUUUUUCAAACUCCUCCUAG